rnacentral:rRNA from 1 species
UGGAUCCAGACUUUGAUCCUGGCUCAGGAUGAACGCUAGCGGCAGGCUUAACACAUGCAAGUCGAGGGGCAGCGCGGGAUAGCAAUAUCCUGGCGGCGACCGGCGGAAGGGUGCGUAACGCGUGAGCGACAUGCCCGUUGCCCGGGGACAACCGGUGGAAACGCCGACUAAUCCCCGAUGGGAUACGAUGCUUCAUGGCAUUGUAUUGAAAGUUACGGCGGCGACGGAUUGGCUCGCGUCCGAUUAGCUGGUUGGCGGGGUAACGGCCCACCAAGGCUACGAUCGGUAGGGGUUCUGAGAGGAAGGCCCCCCACAAUGGGACUGAGACACGGCCCAUACUCCUACGGGAGGCAGCAGUGAGGAAUAUUGGUCAAUGGGCGGAAGCCUGA